AAUAUUGCACAAUGGGCGGAAGCCUGAUGCAGCGACGCCGCGUGAGGGAUGACGGCCUUCGGGUUGUAAACCUCUUUCAGCAGGGACGAAGCGCAAGUGACGGUACCUGCAGAAGAAGCGCCGGCCAACUACGUUCCAGCAGCCGCGGUAAGACGUAGGGCGCGAGCGUUGUCCGGAUUUAUUGGGCGUAAAGAGCUCGUAGGCGGCUUGUCGCGUCGACUGUGAAAACCCGUGGCUCAACUGCGGGCCUGCAGUCGAUACGGGCAGGCUAGAGUUCGGUAGGGGAGACUGGAAUUCCUGGUGUAGCGGUGAAAUGCGCAGAUAUCAGGAGGAACACCGGUGGCGAAGGCGGGUCUCUGGGCCGAUACUGACGCUGAGGAGCGAAAGCGUGGGGAGCGAAC
rnacentral:rRNA from 1 species